AUUUUUUUAGUAUAAAAAGUAUAUUUGACUUCCAAUCAAAAGGUCUUAGUAAGAAAAAAUA
rnacentral:tRNA from 1 species